rnacentral:rRNA from 1 species
UGGGGAACAUUGGGCAAUGGGCGAAAGCCUGACCCAGCAACGCCGCGUGAAGGAAGAAGGCCCUCGGGUUGUAAACUUCUUUUGUCAGGGACGAAGCAAGUGACGGUACCUGACGAAUAAGCCACGGCUAACUACGUGCCAGCAGCCGCGGUAAUACGUAGGUGGCAAGCGUUAUCCGGAUUUACUGGGUGUAAAGGGCGUGUAGGCGGGAGUGCAAGUCAGAUGUGAAAACUAUGGGCUCAACCCAUAGCCUGCAUUUGAAACUGUACUUCUUGAGUGAUGGAGAGGCAGGCGGAAUUCCCUGUGUAGCGGUGAAAUGCGUAGAUAUAGGGAGGAACACCAGUGGCGAAGGCGGCCUGCUGGACAUUAACUGACGCUGAGGCGCGAAAGCGUGGGGAGCAAACAGGAUUAGAUACCCUGGUAGU